GGAGAGGUGUCUGAGUGGUCGAAAGAGCACGCCUGGAAAGUGUGUAUAUGUCAAAAGCGUAUCGAGGGUUCGAAUCCCUCCCUCUCCG
rnacentral:tRNA from 1 species